rnacentral:piRNA from 1 species
UCCAGGCCAUUGGAACUGCAAUGUGGAGAC